UACGUAGGUGGCAAGCGUUGUCCGGAUUUAUUGGGCGUAAAGAGCGCGCAGGCGGUCGUUCAAGUCGCGUGUGAAAGCCCCCGGCUCAACUGGGGAGGGUCACGCGAUACUGAUCGACUGGAAGGCAGGAGAGGGUAGUGGAAUUCCCGGUGUAGAGGUGAAAUGCGUAGAUAUCGGGAGGAACACCUGUGGCGAAAGCGGCGCACUGGACCACAACUGACGCUGAGGCGCGAAAGCUAGGGGAGCAAACAGG
rnacentral:rRNA from 1 species